rnacentral:rRNA from 1 species
UACAGAGGUCUCAAGCGUUGUUCGGAUUCAUUGGGCGUAAAGGGUGUGUAGGUGGCGCGCUAAGUCGGGUGUGAAAUCUCGGAGCUUAACUCCGAAACUGCAUUCGAUACUGCCGUGCUUGAGGACUGGAGAGGAGACUGGAAUUUACGGUGUAGCGGUGAAAUGCGUAGAUAUCGUAAGGAAGACCAGUGGCGAAGGCGGGUCUCUGGACAGUUCCUGACGCUGAGGUGCGAAAGCGUGGGGAGCAAACAGG